UACGUAUGGUGCAAGCGUUAUCCGGAAUUACUGGGUGUAAAGGGAGCGCAGGCGGCACGGCAAGCCUGAUGUGAAAGCCCGCGGCCCAACCGCGGGACUGCAUUGGGAACUACCGGGCUGGAGUGCCGGAGAGGUAGGCGGAAUUCCUAGUGUAGCGGUGAAAUGCGUAGAUAUUAGGAGGAACACCAGUGGCGAAGGCGGCCUACUGGACGGUGACUGACGCUGAGGCUCGAAAGCGUGGGGAGCAAACAGG
rnacentral:rRNA from 1 species